UUAGACGGGGACCCGCACAAGCGUGGAUGAUGUGGACUAAUUCGAUGCAACGCGAAAACCUUACCUACCCUUGACAUGUCCGGAAUCCUGCAGAGAUGCGGGAGUGCCCGAAAGGGAAUCGGAACACAGGUGCUGCAUGGCUGUCGUCAGCUCGUGUCGUGAGAUGUUGGGUUAAGUCCCGCAACGAGCGCAACCCUUAUCAUUAGUUGCUACGCAAGGGCACUCUAAUGAGACUGCCGGUGACAAACCGGAGGAAGGUGGGGAUGACGUCAAGUCCUCAUGGCCCUUAUGGGUAGGGCUUCACACGUCAUACAAUGGUCGGUACAGAGGGUUGCCAAGCCGCGAGGUGGAGCCAAUCCCAGAAAGCCGAUCGUAGUCCGGAUUGUUCUCUGCAACUCGAGAGCAUGAAGUCGGAAUCGCUAGUAAUCGCGGAUCAGCAUGUCGCGGUGAAUACGUUCCCGGGUCUU
rnacentral:rRNA from 1 species